rnacentral:rRNA from 1 species
CGUCAGCUCGUGUCGUGAGAUGUUGGUUAAGUCCCGCAACGAGCGCAACCCUUGUCAUUAGUUGCCAUCAUUUAGUUGGGCACUCUAAUGAGACUGCCGGUGACAAACCGGAGGAAGGUGGGGGAUGACGUCAAGUCCUCAUGGCCCUUAUGGGUAGGGCUUCACACGUCAUACAAUGGUCGGUACAGAGGGUUGCCAAGCCGCGAGGUGGAGCCAAUCCCUUAAAGCCGAUCGUAGUCCGGAUCGUAGUCUGCAACUCGACUACGUGAAGUCGGAAUCGCUAGUAAUCGCAGAUCAGCAUGCUGCGGUGAAUACGUUCCCGGGUCUU